rnacentral:lncRNA from 1 species
CAGAUUGUUAAAACACAGUAAAUUACGCAGCGUUUGAUCCUGCUGUGCUGUUAUUCUUGCAGAAGAAAGUGAAUUUCCUGUGGUCUUAUGUGAAUGACCUCACAGAGCAGAACCAGGUGCUGGUUCAGACCGUUGAGGAUCUGCAGAAGGACGCUGACUGCAAGGCUUCCAAUUGGGGAACGAAGCUCCGCGCCUCACAUCGUACGCUGGACAUGUCUGUGGUUGAUCUGAAGACUUUGCUGGAUGAGCUUGUUGGACCUGCGGCUCACGUCCCACACAGCGAUGCUUCUUUGGGUCGGAUUACACCUGAGUUAGAAGACCUGAGAAUCCAGUUGCAAACCAAGGACACGGUCAUCUCUGAUCUGGAGCGGGAGCUCCGAGAGAAUUUCCA